rnacentral:rRNA from 1 species
GCAAGAAGACCCUAAGAAUUUUAAAAAUAGUAAUUUUUAGUUUCAAAGAAUGCUAUUUUUUAGUUGGGGCAACUAAGAAAUAUUAUAAACUUUUUUAAAAUAAAAUGAUCCAUUAUUAAUGAUUAUUUGAAAAAAUACUCUAGGGAUAACAGCGUAAUAAUUUUUGAUAGAACAUAUAGACAAAAUAGUUUGCGACCUCGAUGUUGGAUUAGGAUACUUUUUUAAUGAAGAUGUUAAAAAAAGAAGUUUGUUCAACUUUUAAAGUCCUACUUGAUCUGAGUUCAGAC